AUGGGUUUUAAGGCAAUAGACUGGUAUUGUCAACCAGAAGCUAAUGGGGUAUGGGCCAAAGCAGUGAGUGUUUUUGGCUCAUACACUCCUUGUGCAAUGAACUCUAUGGUCAUCUGUAUUUCUCAUUUAGUUCUUUUGGGAUUUUGCUGCUAUCGAGUAUGGAUGAUCAAGAAGAAUUUGAAAGCCCGGAGGUUCAGGUUGAGGUCAAACUACUAUAACUAUUUGCUGGGAUUGUUGGCUGGUUACUCCACUGCUGAGCCUCUACUGAGGUUGGUGAUGGGUUUAUCACUCUUUAACCCGUUUGGAAGAACUGGCUUUGCUCCUUUUGAGAUGAAUUCUUCGAUCAUUGAAGCUCUUGCUUGGUGCUCCAUGCUAAUUUUGAUUGGCUUGGAAACUAAGAUAUACAUUCGGGAAUUCCGAUGGUAUGUAAGAUUUGGAGUUCUUUAUGUUUUGGUAGGAAAUGCUGUGGUGCUAAAUCUGAUUCUUGGAGUGACAGUGACAGAUGCUGACAGCGGAUCUGCUCUGUGUCUGUAUAUAAGUACUGUCUGUUGCCAGAUGCUGUUUGGAAUUCUUCUUCUCUUCUAUGUUCCUAAUUUAGAUCCUUAUCCUGGCUACAUUGUUCUGCAAUCUGAGUCACUUGACAAUGCUGAAUAUGAAGCACUACCAGGAGAAGAUCAAAUUUUCCCUGAACGGCAUGCUAAUAUAUUUUCCACCGAGAAUGUUCUACUGUUAGCUAUUGGCUGGGAUCUGUUUCAGUUUUUGAGUCCCAUUCUCUUAAAUCUUUUAUUGCAGUCAAUGCAACGAGGUGAUCCAGCUUGGAUUGGUUACAUAUAUGCCUUCUUAAUUUUCAUUGGUGUGUCAUUUGGUGUGCUCCUUGCGUCUCAGUAUUACCAGAAUGUUCAGCAUGUUGGCUUUUGGUUGAGAUCAACUUUGGUGGCUGCUAUAUUCCGUAAAUCUAUAAGAAUAACACACGAGGGCCGUAAGAAGUUCCCAUCUGGGAAGAUAACAAAUAUGAUGUCUACAGAUGCUGAUGCGCUCCAGCAAACAGCCCGAAUCCUUCACGGACUAUGGUCAGCUCCUUUUCGUAUCAUUGUAGCUAUGGUUCUUCUUUACCAACAAUUAGGUGGUGCAUCUCUUAUUGGAUCCUUGAUGCUAGUUCUCACAAUCCCCAUCCAGACAACGUUGUUCAGCAAAAUGCGGAAACUGACUAAGGAUGGACUGCAACAGACUGACAAGCGAGUUGGCCUCAUGAACGAAAUUUUAGCUGCCAUGGACACUGUGAAAUGUUAUUCAUGGGAGACAAGUUUCCAGGAGCAAGUUCAAAAUAUACGAAAUGAUGAGCUUUCAAGGUUACGUAAAGCGCAAUUACUAUCUGCUUUGAACAAUUUUAUACUUAACAGCAUCCCAGCUGUUGUGACAGUAACUUCAUUUGGGGCGUUCACUUUCCUUGGAGGCGAAUUGACACCUGCUAGGGCAUUCACAUCACUUUCUCUUUUUGCAGUGCUACGCUACCCUUUAUUCAUGCUACCCAACUUAUUAAGUCAGCUUGUAAAUGCAAAUGUGUCCUUACAGCGUUUGGAGGAACUGUUUCUAACUGAGGAGAGAUUUCUAGUACCCAACCCUCCUCUUGAACCAGGGCUUCCAGCCAUCUCAAUUCAGGAUGGGUACUUUUCAUGGGAUUCAAAGGCAGAGAAGCCCACAUUAUCAAACAUCAACUUAGAUAUCCCAAUUGGUAGCUUAGUUGCAGUUGUUGGUGGCACUGGAGAAGGAAAGACAUCACUUAUAUCAGCCAUGCUUGGGGAGCUUCCUCCCAUAAAAGAUGCAGGUGUUACAAUUAGGGGGACUGUUGCUUAUGUUCCCCAAGUUUCAUGGAUUUUCAAUGCUACUGUACGUGAAAACAUUUUAUUUGGAUCUGCAUUUGAAGCUGCACGGUAUUGGAAGGCUAUUGAUGUAACUGAGUUCCAUCAUGACCUAGACUUACUUCCAGGUCGAGAUCUUACGGAGAUAGGUGAAAGAGGGGUCAAUAUUAGUGGAGGUCAAAAGCAAAGGGUUUCAAUGGCCAGAGCUGUAUAUUCUAAUUCAGAUGUUUAUAUAUUUGACGACCCAUUAAGUGCUCUAGAUGCUCAUGUUGCCAGAGAGAUUUUCAACGGCUGUAUCAAGGAGGAGUUGCAGGGGAAAACUAGGGUGCUUGUCACAAAUCAGCUACACUUUUUGCCUCAAGUGGAUGAAAUUAUAUUAGUCUCUGACGGUACGAUUAAGGAGUUUGGAACCUUUAAGGAUCUCUCUGAAAACAGUUUGCUGUUCCAGAAGCUUAUGGAAAAUGCUGGGAAAAUGGAUGAACAUGUAGAAGAAAAGGAACACAGGAAAACUGAUUACCAAGAAACCUCACUUCUUGUGUCUAAUGGGGUGGUGGACGACGUGCCAAAAGAUGCAAGCUACACCAAGAAACAGAAAGGGAUGAAAUCUGUACUGAUUAACCAAGAGGAACGGGAAACAGGUGUUGUAAGUUGGAAAGUUUUACACAGGUAUAAACAUGCAUUAGGAGGCCUAUGGGUGGUCAUGGUUCUAUUUACUUGUUAUACUCUUACUGAAGUUCUUCGAGUUUCAAGCAGCACAUGGUUAAGUUUUUGGACAGAUCAAAGCACAUCAAAGAGUUAUACACCUGGAUUCUACAUUCUUAUAUAUGCAAUUCUCUCAGUUGGUCAGGUAACGCUGACUCUGACGAACACUUUUUGGCUGAUCACUUCAAGUCUUCGUGCAGCCCGACAUUUGCAUGAUUUCCUUCUACAUGCUAUAUUAAAAACUCCAAUGAUGUUCUUUCACACUAACCCAACUGGAAGGAUAAUCAAUAGGUUUGCAAAGGAUCUCGGUGAUAUAGAUUGCAAUGUAGCGAAUUUUAUGAACAUGUUUCUGGGUCAAGUGUGGCAGCUCCUUUCAACUUUUGUGCUCAUAGGAAUUGUGAGCACAAUAUCCCUCUGGGCCAUAAUGCCUCUUCUAAUUUUAUUCUAUGCAGCCUAUAUAUUCUAUCAGAGCACGUCCCGUGAAGUGAAACGCUUGGAUUCCAUUACGAGAUCUCCUGUUUAUGCACAAUUUGGAGAAGCAUUAAAUGGUUUGUCAUCAAUUCGUGCCUAUCAAGCUUAUGAUCGGAUGGCGAAUAUUAUUGGAAGGUCUAUGGAUAAUAAUAUCAGAUUCGGUCUUGUAAAAUGUAGUUCAAGCCACUGGCUUUGAUAUAAGGUUGGAAACACUUGGAGGUAUCAUGAUUUGGGUGAUAGCAACCUUUGCUGUCAUGCAGAAUGGAAGAGCAGAAAACCAAGUACAAUUUGCAUCCACAAUGGGUCUACUUCUUACUUAUACUUUGAAUAUCACAAGUCUGUUGAGUGGUGUUCUUAGACAAGCUAGUAGGGCUGAAAAUAGUUUAAAUUCUGUUGAGCGGGUUGGAACAUAUAUUGAAUUGCCUUCUGAGGCUCCAGCUGUUAUUGAAAGCAACCGUCCCCCACACGGGUGGCCAUCAUCAGGAUCCAUCAAGUUUGAGGAUGUUGUCCUCCGUUAUAGGCCUGGACUUCCACUAGUACUGCACGGAUUAUCGUUCGCAGUUUCUGCAAGUGAGAAGCUUGGAAUAGUUGGUAGAACUGGUGCUGGAAAAUCUAGCGUGAUAAAUGCAUUGUUUAGGAUAGUAGAAAUAGUAAAAGGAAGCAUCUUGAUUGAUGGUUGUGAUGUUGCUAAGUUUGGACUGGCAGAUUUGCGAAAAGUUCUUAGCAUCAUACCCCAAUCACCGGUUCUCUUUUCAGGAACUGUACGGUUUAACCUUGAUCCUUUCAGUGAGCAUAAUGAUGCUGACCUCUGGGAAGCUCUAGAAAAAGCACAUCUAAAGGAUGUGAUUGGGAGGAAAUCCUUUGGUCUCAAUGCUGAGGUUUCUGAGGGUGGUGAGAAUUUCAGUGUUGGACAGAGGCAGCUAAUUAGUCUUGCUAGAGCAUUACUACGGAGAUCAAAAAUUAUUGUUCUUGAUGAAGCAACUGCAGCUGUGGAUGUUAGAACUGAUUCUCUUAUCCAAGAAACCAUUCGUGAAGAAUUCAAAUCAUGCACCAUGCUUGUUAUUGCCCACAGAUUGAACACCAUUAUCGACUGUGAUCGAAUUCUUCUUCUUGAUGCUGGUCAGGUCAUAGAACAUGGUUCCCCACAAGAACUACUGCUAGAUGAACAGAGCGCAUUCUCAAAGAUGGUUAGGAGUACAGGACCUUCUAAUGCUCAGUACUUGCACAGCCUGGUGUUUGAAGAUGAGAAGAAUAAGAUGAAUAGAAACGAAAUCAAGCAACUGGUUGGCUAGAGCCAGAGGAGAUGGUUAGCCUCUUCGUGCUGGGCCGCUGCCGCCUCCUUGGCUGUUAGUCUCACAUCCUCACAGAACGAUCUCCAAAGGUUAGAUAUAGGAGACAAGGACAAUAUCCUCAUGAAAACAAAGGAUGCAGUGAUAACACUACAGGGAGUUUUGGAAGGAAAGCAUGAUGAAGUUAUAGACACUAGCCUUUAACUCAAAUAAAAAAAAAUACAUAUGCCAAGAGAGGGGUGGUGGUCAGCUAUCUUCAGAAUAGUUGAAUGUCUGACCGGAAAUAAGCAACUGAUCGAAAUAGCUCAUGGAGUUGUGAAUUCGACAAAUUGUUUCGUGUGGGUUGUUGGGAAAGUGUUUAAGUUUGAGAAUGAUGAUCAGAGUCAUGAAGAUGAGGAGAACUGGCUGGUGGAUUUUGAGAAGAGAAUGAGGGAGAGUGGGAGAGGGGUUGUUAUAAGGGGAUGGGCGCCUCAGAUUCGGAUGCUGGAGCAUAAGGCUGUUGGUGGGUUUGUGAGUCAUUGUGGGUGGAACUCGACAUUGGAGAGUGUCUGUGCCGGCGUGCCGAUGAUCAUGUGGUCGCUCUCAGCGAAGCAGUUUUCGAAUGAGAAGCUGAUUACUGAUGUGUUGGGGAUUGGUGUUCAGGUUGGGAGCAAAGAGUGGGCGUCGUGGAAUAUGGAGAGGAAGGAAGUGAUUGGGAGAGAGAAGGUUGAGGCUGCGGUGAGGAAGGUGGUAGGUGGUGGUGAGGAGGAGGUGGAGAUGAGGAAGAGGGCCAGAGAUCUUGCGGAGAAGGCAAAGAAAGCUAUUGAAGAAGGUGGGUCAUCAUAUGCAGAAGUGGAUGCUUUGAUUUCAGAGCUCAGGUCACUGAAGAAGAACUGA